rnacentral:lncRNA from 1 species
UAGGAAAUUGAGGGUAGACCUGAUAGGGUUAGACACAGGAGAUUUUGAUGUAAUCCUAGAAAUGGAUUGGCUAGCGGCGUAUCACGCCACCAUAGACUGCUUUAAUAAAAAGAUUGUAUUUAAUCCUCCCAACGAGGAGCCAUUCACAAGUUAAUAAAAUUAUUCGGUACUGAUUUUCCCUAAUGACAAAUUCUUUUCUCCUUAAU